rnacentral:rRNA from 1 species
GACGAACGCUGGCGGCGUGCCUAACACAUGCAAGUCGAACGGAAAGGCCCUGCUUUUGUGGGGUGCCCGAGUGGCGAAAGGGUGAGUAACAAGUGAGUAACCUGCCCUUGACUUUGGGAUAACUUCAGGAAACCGGGGCUAAUACCGGAUAGGAGCUCCUGCUGCAUGGUGGGGGUUGGAAAGUUUCGGCGGUAGGGGAUGGACUCGCGGCUUAUCAGCUUGUUAGUGGGGUAGUGGCUUACCAAGGCUUUGACGGGUAGCCGGCCUGAGAGGGUGGCCGGCGACAUUGGGACUGAGAGACGGCCCAGACGCCAACGGGAGGCAACGGUGGGGAGUAUUACGCAAUGGGGGGAAGCCUGAUACAGCGACGCCGGGUGCGGAAUGACGGCCUUCGGGUUGUGAACCACUUUCGCAUGUGACGAAGCGUGAGUGGCGGUAAUGGGUAAAGAAGCACCGGCUAACUACGUG